rnacentral:rRNA from 1 species
UACGUAGGGUGCAAGCGUUGUCCGGAUUUAUUGGGCGUAAAGAGCUCGUAGGCGGUUUGUCGCGUCGGAUGUGAAAUCCCAGGGCUCAACCCUGGGCCUGCAUUCGAUACGGGCAGACUAGAGUAUGGCAGGGGAGAACGGAAUUCCUGGUGUAGCGGUGAAAUGCGCAGAUAUCAGGAGGAACACCGGUGGCGAAGGCGGUUCUCUGGGCAUGAUCUGACGCUGAGG